GGCGGCAAGAUAGCCAUUUAGAGGAACCUGCCCUAUAAACGAUGAACCACGAAUACCUUACUUUUUUUUGAGAUCAGUUUGUAUACCGCUGUUGGCAGUUAGUUUCAUUAGAAAACUUUCGUUAAUAAUAUAAUUAUUGACUUCAAGUAAAGGUGCAGCAAAUAAAAAAGACAGAGGUGGGUUACAUUUAAUUGAAUAAAACGGAUAAAGUUAUGAAAUUGCUUUUGAAGGUGGAUUUAAUAGUAAAGUUUAAUAAAACUUGAUGGGAACUCUGUCUUGUGUACACACCGCCCGUCG
rnacentral:rRNA from 1 species